CAGUGAUUAAGUUCAUUUUUAGUAUAGUUUUACACUUGUUUACUUAUAACGAUUCGUUCCAAUGAAUAUAAACUGUUCACCUAGUGUAUAACAAUGUUUGGAGAGGUGUAUAUGUUAAUGUCAGUAAAUAAAAAAAAACAAUUCCAACAGUUGUUGUGACCUCACCGGGAGUAAUUUUGCUCGAAAUAUUAGCAAAAUACAAUGGCGGGUAACGGGGAAUCAGGGUUCGAUUCCGGAGAGGGAGUCUGAGAAAUAGCUACCACAUCCAAGAACGGUAGCAGGCUCGAAAAUUACCCACUCCCAGCACGGGGAGGUAGUGACG
rnacentral:ncRNA from 1 species